rnacentral:rRNA from 1 species
UGGGGAAUAUUGGACAAUGGGCGCAAGCCUGAUCCAGCCAUGCCGCGUGAGUGAUGAAGGCCCUAGGGUUGUAAAAGCUCUUUUGUGCGGGAAGAUAAUGACGGUACCGCAAGAAUAAGCCCCGGCUAACUUCGUGCC